rnacentral:tRNA from 1 species
GGAAGGGUGGCCGAGCGGCUUAAGGCGCACGCUUGGAAAGCGUGUUUACCCUCACAGGUAACAAGGGUUCGAAUCCCUUUCCUUCCGCCA